UGAGGAAUAUUGGUCAAUGGACGCAAGUCUGAACCAGCCAAGCAGCGUGCAGGAUGACGGCCCUAUGGGUUGUAAACUGCUUUUAUAUGGGGAUAAAGUGGGGAACGUGUUCCCUUUUGCAGGUACCAUAUGAAUAAGGACCGGCUAAUUCCGAGCCAGCAGCCGCGGUAAUACGGAAGGUUCGGGCGUUAUCCGGAUUUAUUGGGUUUAAAGGGAGCGUAGGCCGUUUGGUAAGCGUGUUGUGAAAUGUAGGAGCUCAACUUCUAGAUUGCAGCGAGAACUGUCAGACUUGAGUGCGCACGACGUAGGCGGAAUUCAUGGUGUAGCGGUGAAAUGCUUAGAUAUCAUGAAGAACUCCGAUUGCGAAGGCAGCUUACGGGCGCGCAACUGACGCUGAAGCUCGAAAGUGCGGGUAUCGAACAGG
rnacentral:rRNA from 1 species